GUCUCAGUUCCCGCCAGCCCGAGGGACGAGACGUUUCUGCGAGGCCUGGACGGGGAGUCUGGCACAGCCGUGGCAGAGGAGGUUCAAACAGGCUGGGCUUCUCCCAGCCUGCGCACACAUGGAACAGAGUUUCCCUGUCUCUGGACGCUCAGGCUUUCUGCCUCCGAUUUCCAGCAGAAGGAGCAAAGGGAGUUAAUCGGUAAACAGCUUAAGAAAGAAGAACUCUUCUUGUGCCUGUCUGAGGAUCACCGGUGCCCUUCCUCUGCCCCUUCCCCAGUUUGCCACAACUGUCUGAGUCCCCUUUGGUCAACUCAGUUCGCCCAAGCCUCAUUUUCUUCACCUGAAAAUGGAAACGAGAGGAGGAAAGGAAACCCUCCUACACUGCUGAUGGGAACAUGCUGGUGGGGCC